UACAGAGGGGGCAAGCGUUAUUCGGAAUUAUUGGGCGUAAAGGGCGCGUAGGCGGCUUUGCAAGUGGCGGGUGAAAGCCCAGGGCUCAACCCUGGAAUUGCCUUUAAGACUGCAUCGCUUGAACAUCGGAGAGGUAAGUGGAAUUCCGAGUGUAGAGGUGAAAUUCGUAGAUAUUCGGAAGAACACCAGUGGCGAAGGCGACUUACUGGACGAUUGUUGACGCUGAGGUGCGAAAGCCAGGGGAGCAAACGGG
rnacentral:rRNA from 1 species